AGUGAACGCUGGCGGUAGGCCUAACACAUGCAAGUCGAACGGCAGCACAGUAAGAGCUUGCUCUUACGGGUGGCGAGUGGCGGACGGGUGAGGAAUACAUCGGAAUCUACUUUUUCGUGGGGGAUAACGUAGGGAAACUUACGCUAAUACCGCAUACGACCUACGGGUGAAAGCAGGGGAUCUUCGGACCUUGAGCGAUUGAAUGAGCCGAUGUCGGAUUAGCUAGUUGGCGGGGUAAAGGCCCACCAAGGCGACGAUCCGUAGCUGGUCUGAGAGGAUGAUCAGCCACACUGGAACUGAGACACGGUCCAGGCUCCUACGGGAGGCAGCAGUGGGGAAUAUUGGACAAUGGGCGCAAGCCUGAUCCAGCCAUACCGCGUGGGUGAAGAAGGCCUUCGGGUUGUAAAGCCCUUUUGUUGGGAAAGAAAAGCAGCAGGUUAAUACCCCGCUGUUCUGACGGUACCCAAAGAAUAAGCACCGGCUAACUUCGUG
rnacentral:rRNA from 1 species